UUUGGACUGGUUCGCAAACUUCCCAGUAUAAAAAACUAAGUACCC
rnacentral:ncRNA from 1 species